GGGUGUCUAAAUCUAUUUGACUCGAUUUAGACAGGUAUUAGUGUCGGUCGGGCCGCCGCA
rnacentral:ncRNA from 12 species